AUUGCACGCUUGCGGCAGGCCUAACACAUGCAAGUCGAACGAGUGGCGGACGGGUGAGUAUUGUCUGGGAACCUGCCCGACGGAGGGGGAUGAUUACUGGAUACGGUAGCUACUCCCGCAUACCAUCGGAUGUGCCCAGAUUGGAUUAGCUAGUAGGUGGGGUAACGGCUCCCCUAGGCGCCGGUCCCGAGCUGGUCUGAGAGGAUGACCAGCCACACUGGAACUGAGACACGGUCCAGCCUCCUACGGGAGGCAGCAGUGGGGAAUAUUGCACAAUGGGCGCAAGCCUGAUGCAGCCAUGCCGCGUGUAUGAAGAAGGCCUUCGGGUUGUAAAGUACUUUCAGCGAGGAGGCGUUACUCGCAGAAGAAGCAACGGCUAACUCCGUGCCAGCAGCCGCGGUAAUUC
rnacentral:rRNA from 1 species